AUGGGCAGCCCGGCUCGGCCCCCCGCGGGCACCGGCACCGGCAGCGGGCAGGGCUCCCCGGGGAGCGGCGGGAGCUGCCUGCCCGGAUCGGGGCAGCUGGCGCUUUUGGGGUGGGGAAGGGAAGGGGGGGCCGUAGCCCCUGCCCCCCGUCUCUUCCCGGGAGCAGCCUCAAGCCGCCGCGCCGCGUCCCCCCUUCCCUCCCGGGAAAGUUGCGUGUCCCGAUGCCGGGCUGCCGGCACCCCUGCCCGAGGCGGCCCCGGCCCCCUCCCCACUCCCCUCUCCGGCCCCGGCCCGCGGCGGCACUCACCGGGCGGAGGGUGGGCAACGCGGCCGAGCUCCUCCCGCGGGCGGCACUGCCGGCGGCUCUGCCGUGUGCCGGCAGCGCAGGACCCGCUGCCACACACACACACACACACACACACACACGGCGCCGCUCUCCCGGCGCCCACUCUGCGCUCGGCUGCCACCUGCACGGCCCCGGCGCCCCGCACAGACCCGUCACACACGCAGGCACACUGCGCUGCACGCACACACUCCCAGCCCCGCACACCCAGCACCACACACCGCGCUGCACACACGCACACAGCCCCGCACGCACCCCCCGUAGCCCUCCCAGCACUGCACGCACAGCCCAGUGCACGCACAGCGCCUUUACAGACCUGUCCUGCAACCCCACAACCCUUCACACACACCCCUGCGCGGACACCCGCAUCCCGCAUGCAGACCCCUUUGCAGACCCGACCCCCGCACACACACACCUUCCUCCGUGUGCACGCACACACACACAGAGUGUGCAAACACUUCUUUGCAUACGCUUUCUGCAGUCACCCCCGGAACAUGCACGCACAACCUCCCUUUGCACACACACCCUGCAUGCCUCCGCCCCUGCCCACGCACCCCCUUUGCACACCCGCACGGAACCCCCUGCACGCACUCUCCCUGCACAUGCAAGCACAACCCUCAUUUGAACACUGUCCCUGCGCCCUCCCACGGGGAGCCCUGCACGCACACCCCCUUUGCACACCCGCACGAACCCCCUUGCCCGCACCUCCCCCGCGCAGGACCUCUUCCCCAUCCUGUGGGAGCGCUGGCUGUGCCCGGUCCCUGCCCGUGCCGGGUCGGGCUGUGCCGGGCCGGGCUGUGUCGUGCCGGCUCGGGCCGGGCCGCGGCAGCCGCCCCGGGCUCCCGGUGCCCAGCGCAGCCCGCGCCGGCGGUGCCCGGCCGGCCCGGCCGUGGUGCUGA
rnacentral:lncRNA from 1 species